CCUGAGCCUAAGCCCUAGUAUGCUUUAAGCCCUAUAAUGUUGGUUUUCCUUGCUCCACUUGGCCACUGCCAUUAUCCCCAAGAUUAUGUCUUUGAUGCGUUCUAAUUGUGGUCUAAUGUUUGCCCACUGCAUGUUCCCCUCCUCUUGGUCUGGACAAUAUAUAAAAUGUGAAAUAUUGUAAUAACAUUACCUGUAUUUGUAUGAUGUCUUGAUAUCGUGAAGGACAUUAGCUCCCAAAUCCUUCGAAAACAUCCCACAAACAAGAAAUAUGGUAUCUAUACUGUAUAUAAAGAAAGAGUCAUGAUUUAUUGACAACACGUG
rnacentral:lncRNA from 1 species